rnacentral:lncRNA from 1 species
GUCUGACCUGUUUGCUUUUUCAUUUUUCUAAAAAUAUUUUUAUGUGAAUCCUAUUGCCACCGUUUGCUUUAGAUUCAGUGCCUGCGUCAUAGAAGGGUCCGUGUCAGUAAGGAAGUGAAAAGCAAGAUGGAAUACUGGAACUCUCCUGGCAGAUUGUCUGAAGUCAAUGUGUUUUCUGGUUAUGUGUUUCAGCUGCGAGUUUUUCAAAUUGUUGCAAAUCUUCAAACAUUUUUCCAACAAAUUUACUGAAAAAAAUCCACAUAUAAGUGGCACCCCCACCAGUUUAAACCUGUGUUGUUCAAG